rnacentral:rRNA from 1 species
UACGGGGGGGGGUAAGCGUUGUUCGGAAUUACUGGGCGUAAAGGGCGCGUAGGCGGCCAGCACAAGUCAGUUGUGAAAUCUCCGAGCUUAACUCGGAAAGGUCAACUGAUACUGUGCGGCUAGAGUGCGGAAGGGGCAACUGGAAUUCUUGGUGUAGCGGUGAAAUGCGCAGAUAUCGAGAGGAACACCAAUGGCGAAGGCAGCUCGCUGGGACGGUACUGACGCUGAGACGCGAAAGCGUGGGGAGCAAACAGG